UAGGGAAUAUUGGACAAUGGGCGAAAGCCUGAUCCAGCCAUGCCGCGUGAGUGAAGAAGGCCUUAGGGUUGUAAAGCUCCUUUGGCGGGGAAGAUAAUGACGGUACCCGCAGAAUAAGCUCCGGCUAACUUCGUGCCAGCAGCCGCGGUAAUACGAAGGGGGCUAGCGUUGUUCGGAAUCACUGGGCGUAAAGCGCACGCAGGCGGAUUGAUAAGUCAGGGGUGAAAUCCCGGAGCUCAACUUCGGAAUUGCCUUUGAUACUGUCUGUCUUGAGUCCGGGAGAGGUGAGUGGAAUUCCUAGUGUAGAGGUGAAAUUCGUAGAUAUUAGGAAGAACACCAGUGGCGAAGGCGGCUCACUGGCCCGGUACUGACGCUCAUGUGCGAAAGCGUGGGGAGCAAACAGGAUUAGAUACCCUGGUAGUCCACGCCGUAAACGAUGGAUGCUAGCCGUUGGGUAGCUUGCUGCUCGGUGGCGCAGCUAACGUAUUAAGCAUCCCGCCUGGGGAGUACGGUCGCAAGAUUAA
rnacentral:rRNA from 1 species